ensembl:lncRNA
CGCCGGGAUCGGUGCGGCGCCCCGGAGCGAGCCGGCGGCAGCGGGGCCGCAGAGCAGGGAUCAUGGCCCCAGGCUGCUGCAGCUGGGGGGCGUUUGGUCACCGCUCUCAGGCAUAGCGUUUGAAUUUUGGGUGGUCGCGUGUGGGGCCAGGAGUUGGACUCGAUGAUCCGUGUGCAUCCCCUCCAACUCAGGAUGUACUGUGAUCCUAUGAAAUACUGUUACAAAACAGCCCCAGGAACUGAGACCCUCCUGAAUCCCGCUGCUUUUGAUUCCAGCCUUCUGAACUGUGCGGGGGGAUUGGCUAUGGAGGAGAUAGCAGAGGACACUUUCCAGGAGUUCUUCAGCCUCUCUUUCACUUUUCCUUCUUUCCCUGGAGCUCUAGAGCUAGUUACAAUAGCUCUUGAGAAUUCUGAACAUCCAUGAGAUGAUCAAACCAGAGUCCUCUUAUUGCUGUGUGUCAAUGAAUAUGUUUCAGGUUAUGCUUAAGAUAAAACAAUUAUUUAAGAAUAUCAUCUGGAGAUCAGCCCUGAGGUGGGAUAUUUCUGAGUGGCAGGAAGUGCCAAUAAUUUGGAACUUCACCUCUAAAUUACUGCAGAGUCUGGAAAAACUAGUAGAACGUUUGGAAAAGAUCUUCUGUUGCCCUGGAGGUCCUAAAGAGGCAGAAAUCAUUGCAGUGUGCUGGGGCCUGGUCUAUGCUUACAGAGAUCUUCUGAUCAAUACUAUUCAGCAUCCUUAAGGGGAACAGAGUACUUCUGGAUGUGAAGACAAUACAACAGACCCUCCAACUUCCAUGAUAGAGUCCCUGCAGCAGCUCCAGUUUCUGCAAGAGGUCCUACGGUUUCUCCAAGCAUUGAGACACCAUGCUGCCACUCCAACCCUUGUGAUGAGCCCUAUGGUUACUCCUGCUGUGGGUCUUGUGGCUGUUACAAG